CGGCGACGUGUCUUUCAAGUAUCUGCCUUAUCAACUUUCGACGGUAGUGUAUCUGACUACCGUGGUGGUGACGGGUAACGGAGGAUAAGGGUUCGACUCCGGAGAAGGGGCCUGAGAAAUGGCCACUACGUCUAAGGAUGGCAGCAGGCGCGCAAAUUACCCACUCUCAGAACGAGGAGGUAGUGACGAAAAAUAACGAGACCGUUCUCUACGAGGCCGGUCAUCGGAAUGGGUACAAUUUAAACCCUUUAACGAGUAUCUAUGAGAGGGCAAGUCUGGUGCCAGCAGCCGCGGUAAUUCCAGCUCUCAAAAUGCAUAGAAUUAUUGCUGCGGUUAAAAAGCUCGUAGUUGGAUUUGUGCUAGGGACGCGGUCCACCUUCGGGUGCGCACUGCGCUCCCUGGCUUUUUCUGCCGGUUUUCUCGCCGUGGCUUUCAUCGGCUGCGGUGGGUGGCUGGUGAUUUUACUUUGAACAAAUCAGAGUGCUUCAAACAGGCGUUUCGCUUGAAUGUUCGUGCAUGGAAUAAUAGAAGAGGAUUUCGGUUCUAUUUUAUUGGUUUUAUAGACUGAAAUAAUGGUUAACAGAGACAAACGGGGGCAUUUGUAUCGCUGCGUGAGAGGUGAAAUUCUUGGACCGCAGCGAGACAAACUACAGCGAAAGCAUUUGCCAAGAAUGUCUUCAUUAAUCAAGAACGAAAGUCAGAGGUUCGAAGGCGAUCAGAUACCGCCCUAGUUCUGACCGUAAACGAUGCCAACUAGCGAUCUGCCGGCGGAAUUUUCGCCCUGGUAGGGAGCUUCCCGGAAACGAAAGUCUUCCGGUUCCGGGGGAAGUAUGGUUGCAAAGCUGAAACUUAAAGGAAUUGACGGAAGGGCACCACCAGGAGUGGAGCCUGCGGCUUAAUUUGACUCAACACGGGAAAACUCACCCGGCCCGGACACCGUAAGGAUUGACAGAUUGAUAGCUUUUUCAUGAUUCGGUGGAUGGUGGUGCAUGGCCGUUCUUAGUUCGUGGAGCGAUUUGUCUGGUUUAUUCCGAUAACGAGCGAGACUCUAGCCUACUAAAUAGUCUGCACAUUGCUUUUGUGUUGCAGUACUUCUUAGAGGGAUUUUCGGUGUACAGCCGCACGAGAUUGAGCAAUAACAGGUCUGUGAUGCCCUUAGAUGUCCGGGGCUGCACGCGCGCUACACUGGCGAAAUCAGCGUGCCUGUCCUUUCCCGAAAGGGAUUGGUAAACCAUUGAAAAUUUGCCGUGAUUGGGAUCGAAAAUUGCAAUUAUUUUUCGUGAACGAGGAAUUCCAAGUAAAUGCGAGUCAUCAACUCGCGUUGAUUACGUCCCUGCCCUU
rnacentral:rRNA from 1 species